rnacentral:piRNA from 1 species
UAACAUAACAGAUUCAGGUAAGUACAGA